rnacentral:rRNA from 1 species
AUUGAACGCUGGCGGCAGGCCUAACACAUGCAAGUCGAACGAGUGGCGGACGGGUGAGUAAUGUCUGGGAAACUGCCUGAUGGAGGGGGAUAACUACUGGAAACGGGAGCUAAUACCGCAUACCAUCCGAUUUGACCAGAAGGGAUUAGCUAGUAGGUGGGGGAACGGCUCACCUAGGCGACGAUCCCUAGCUGGGCUGAGAGGAUGACCAGCCACCCUGGAACUGAGACACGGUCCAGACUCCUACGGGAGGCAGCAGUGGGGAAUAUUGCACAAUGGGCGCAAGCUGGAUGCAGCCAUGCCGCGUGUAUGAAGAAGGCCUUCGGGUUUUAAAGUACUUUCAGCGGGGAGGCGUUACCCGCAGAAGAAGCACCGGCUAACUCCGUGCCAGCCGCUGCGGUAAUAC